UACGUAGGGCGCAAGCGUUGUCCGGAUUCAUUGGGCGUAAAGAGCGUGUAGGCGGCCAGGUAGGUCGGUUGUGAAAACUGGAGGCUCAACCUUCAGAGGUCGACCGAAACCAUCUGGCUAGAGUCCGGGAGAGGAGAGUGGAAUUCCUGGUGUAGCGGUGGAAUGCGCAGAUAUCAGGAAGAACACCGAUGGCGAAGGCAGUUCUCUGGGCCGUAACUGACGCUGAGGAGCGAAAGCGUGGGGAGCGAACAGG
rnacentral:rRNA from 1 species